UCAUAAGACACACGCGGCUAUC
rnacentral:miRNA from 1 species